UUUCAGGUUAAGUACGGAGCUCUGGAACGAAUUAAGUACUUAACCCGAGGUGCCACUGUAUUAUAAACAGCACGGUGCCACUCGAAGGCAGUUGUGGCCACAGCACAACUGUAAACCCCACGCCCCGGCGGCUCACCAGCAUCGUCCUCGAGGGAGCACGACCCUCCAAAAACAGGGGCAGUCUACCGUCCCGAUCACAGCUGAGGCUUGAGGUGCUGCUAAGCUUCACUCGCCUCCUUCAGACCAGGGUAACAGAGUUACUGCGUCACACAUGUCCGGAUCACUUUUGGAUCUUAGGAGUCAGCAGUUACUCUGCCUUUAUGGUGCCUGGAAUGGAUGCAUCAAACAGAUUUAAGUGUGAACAUGAAGUAAUUCACACCACUAUUUUCUAACUACAACAUGACCCUUUGGCAAUCUUAUUCUGGAGGAUAUCCACAUGGAACCCAUUUUUGUGACUGAAUCAAAAUAAGCCCAGCAGCCUGUGCAAACGAGAUGUCACACAAACUGGACAGAAAUCACUUCAUGGGCUUUGGAAGAAGCAUAAAUUCAAGCAGGUAAUGGAGAUGGUGUGAUGGAGAACAUUUCACAUAAGGACAGAAGAUUAUCUCUACUAGAUCAGAUUAAAGGCCUAUUUAGUCCAGCAUCCUGUUUUCUGCAGGGGCUAGCCACAUGGCUGUGGGAAGCCAACAGACAAAAGCCCUCUCCUGUUCUUUCUCAGGAAUUGGUACGCAUGCCUCUGAUAUAUAACUAUCAUGUCUAGAAACCAUUUACCUGCUGUAUUUGUGCCUAUCAGAUAAAGGCAGGGACAAUCAGACUUUACUCUUGCAUAGAUUAUGAUAAUGAUUUUACUAGAAUCUCCAUUGUGUUUCUAAUACUGUUACAAUGAUGCUCUUGGUUAAGCAUAACCAAGGAACUGCAUUAGGGGUAACAGCCUGUCAGUGAUCUCCUCUUUUUAUGAACUUCGACUUUACUUGCAAAGCAGACAUGACCGGAAUCACUGUGAAAAUUGGAUUGCAAGAAAUGAUAAUACUGAAACUAUUUGGCUGUCAAAAGAUCGCUAAAUGCAGAGACUUUCUCUGCUUGAAGUAUCAUAAGCAAGCUAAUAAAGUUUGCACCAAUCAUCCUUGAAUGUGGACUUUGAAAGCUCUGGCAAAUACUUUCCCCCUAGUACCUUCUCUUUAGUUACACAAUAAUAUUGACCAGAGGAGGAAAUUACUUGAAUUCCCCAAGUGACCAUGAUGCACAAAAACAUGGCAAUUCAAUUUCA